UGAAGCAGACAUCCCUGUCCUGGCCACGGAAGGCAGUAAAACGCAGCUCCACUGGGGCAGGCCGUGAGGGCUGUGCCAGAACAAGCAUCCAGAUUUUGGGGAUGGAGCCAGGCAGGGCGAGUUGUGGUCUCCAAGCUGCGCCCCCCCAACUCAGCCAACUGUCCCUGGGUGUCCACUCUGGGGUCUCCAGCUCCCCUCUUUGCCCCCACAAUUACAAAGAUGAUCUUACCGGCAGACCCAUCUCAGGACCUCACCUCCCCCAUCAGCGUACAGAAUUCAUCCACCACUGCUGCUGCUCCUCGGCUGGCCGGCUGGCUGACUGGCUCUUAUCUCAGCGGUGGCCAGGGGGUGGAGCAUAACUGACUCCCCCAGACCCAGCCGCCCCGACCCCGCAUUAUCUUGCCCCACAGCCUCCUCCCACCCCUGCAGCCGCCCAGACCUUCUGGGGCUCCUCUUCCCAGCAUCCUCUAGGCCUUGCUUUGUCUGCAGUUUUUUUUCCUGCCUCUCCCUGUCUGCCUUCUCUCCCUCCCCGGGGCGUUGUGGGGGGGUCCCAAGGCCGAGCUCUCUCCACUCCCAACACGUCAGCUGAGUGUCUCCUGCCAGAACUGGAGCCUGACCCUCUGCUUGCAGCUAAGGACCCAUCUCUGUGAAGUUUCUUCCACCCAGGGGCAGCUGGGCAGGGACACCUAGGUUGGAAUCCGGGAUCAGCACUUGCCAGCCAGGUAACCUCCAGCAACUGCUCUGCUUUGAGCUUCAGAUUCCUCUUUAAACUGUAUGAAGGUGCCACAAGGACUAAAGGAGAUGGAAGAACUCUGCCCCUGGCUUGUGCCUCCUGCUGGAAGGCUCCCCUCUCCUCCCACCUUUCCAGAGGCUGAAGGCACAUGCGCAUCCCCUGCCUCCAUCUGAGAGCCCUGGGCAAGCUUGGCCUCAACUCCCCCUGGGUAUAAAGACAGAGGCUGUGGAUCUGAUGUGGGCUUUGCCAAGAGUAUUUCUGUGAGAGUCAAUAAUCAGGCAAAUGGGUGAAGGGAGUGUGAGACCCAGAAAUGUAUUUUAUCGACCGCAGAAAUUAUUUACCUGGGUUGGAAAGAAUUCCUGAGACUGAAGCACUUAUUGUGCAUAGGGCUAGCCUGGCCCUUGCUCCACAGCUGGGCAACAACUUCCCCUUCUAGCCAGCGGGAUUCCCUGGGGGUAGAGGACCUGUCAAGAACCUGCAGGGCCUGCAAACUUGUUGCCUACCUAGCUCCACAGAGCUUCUAGGCCCGAGUUCUAUCCAGGUCUCCCUGGAUCUCAGAGAGACCUGGAAGAGGUCUUGAGACCUUCCAGCACCCCAGGACUUGGUGAGACACCCUCCCACUACUAACACCUAAACCAGCUUGGCCCAAUAGAUGAUGGAGUGCUGCCACCUGGUGGCCACCAGCAGCACAGUGCCCUCCAAGAUCCAGUCUCCAGGGCCAUAUCCCCUGUAUACCCCACCUGUCCCUUAGGGCAUUCAUCCCUCGGGAAUCAGGGUGGCUGGGCUCUGGGUGCCCUUGAGACCCCCAGCCAGAAUGUGCAUGCCUGGGGAGAUUAGCUCAGGCCUGGCUGCUCAUCUGGGCUUUGAAACUUGUUUGAUGCAUGGCCAUGACAGCUGCUCCUGGACGGCCCUCAAAGAGCCCUGCACAUUGUAACAGGUGUCCCAGCCAAGGGCAGGCUGGACUUGGGAUCCCUGGAGACUCCCUUUAGUUCAGCAAGAGACGUUUCCAAAUUCAGAAUUUGGGUCUCCGUGAUUGGGAAGUUUGCAUUGCUCUCACAGCAUCUCCAUGUCAGGCAUGUCUAAGAGUAACAGCAGCCCUGAGGGCAGGAAAGGACAUGGCAGGACACAACACACUCAUCCCCAGGCUUGGGGUUGGAGCAGACCCUGACCGGUUGGUGGGGGGUUGCCUGGGCCCUUGGGGCUUCAGCCUCGGGUCCUCACAGGGUGAGAGCCAUUCAGCACCAGCAGGAUUACCCAAAUAUGGUCUUGCAUGAGAUCUGA
ensembl:lncRNA